GGGCCAAUGAUGAGUUAUUAUCUUGAGGAGAAAUGAUGACGUAAAAAUCAAGCUUAGUUGGAUUACGCUGAGGCCA
rnacentral:snoRNA from 1 species